rnacentral:rRNA from 1 species
UAGUGGCGCACGGGUGAGUAAUAUAUAGCUAAUCUGCCCUACACUAGAGGACAACAGUUGGAAACGACUGCUAAUACUCUAUACUCCUUCUUUACAUAAGUUAAGUCGGGAAAGUUUUUCGGUGUAGGAUGAGGCUAUAUCGUAUCAGCUAGUUGGUGAGGUAAUGGCUCACCAAGGCUAUGACGCGUAACUGGUCUGAGAGGAUGAUCAGUCACACUGGAACUGAGACACGGUCCAGACUCC